rnacentral:lncRNA from 1 species
AAGAACCUUUAUAAAUUUUUUGAUCUAUUUUUUUACUUCAUGUCUGAACUCUUUAAACUUUUUAAAGGCUUCAGACUUACGGUGCAUCAAAUACACAAACCCAUACCAUGACAAAUUAUCGAUAAAGAUUAUGAAGUAGAUAUGGCCAUCCCUUGGCCUGUACAUCGAAUGGACCACACACAUCAGUGUGCACCAGGGUUAAUAACUCAGUGGUCC